rnacentral:rRNA from 1 species
GUAAGGAAUAUUGGACAAUGGACGCAAGUCUGAUCCAGCCAUGCCGCGUGAAGGAUUAAGGUCCUCUGGAUUGUAAACUUCUUUUAUAAGGGACGAAAAAAGGCUUUUCUAAGUCGUCUGACGGUACCUUAUGAAUAAGCACCGGCUAACUCCGUGCCAGCAGCCGCGGUAAUACGGAGGGUGCAAGCGUUAUCCGGAUUCACUGGGUUUAAAGGGUGCGUAGGCGGGCAGGUAAGUCAGUGGUGAAAUCCUAGAGCUUAACUCUAGAACUGCCAUUGAAACUAUCUGUCUUGAAUAUUGUGGAGGUAAGCGGAAUAUGUCAUGUAGCGGUGAAAUGCUUAGAUAUGACAUAGAACACCUAUUGCGAAGGCAGCUUACUACGCAUAUAUUGACGCUGAGACACGAAAGCGUGGGGAUCAAACAGGAUUAGAUACCCGUGUAGUCC